AUUUAUUUAAAUUUGCUGAUAUUCUUAUUAAAAGAGGUGUCAUCAAUGCUAUUAAUCUUGAUGGAGGUGGAUCAAACACUUUACUAGAAGAGGGAACUCUUGUAAACUAUCCUGGUGACUACUGUCAUGAGGAUAAGAAGCUUUACUUAUGUCCAAGGAAAGUAUCAACAGUGUUGUGUGUUCAUGAUGUUGCUAAUGACACUGAUAGUUCUAGUAAUGGUGGUGGUGGUGGUGGGUCUACUCCCUGUGUCUCUCCAUGGUGUGGAGAGAAAUGUGAACUACUGAACUGUGAUGGAACUGAUUGCAAUGGAAAUGGAGUUUGUACUAAUGGAUCUUGUAAGUGUAAAGCAGGAUGGUAUGGUAGUCUCUGUGAGAAAUAUAUGGUCCU
rnacentral:lncRNA from 1 species